AUUGAACGCUGGCGGCAUGCCUUACACAUGCAAGUCGAACGGUAACAGGUCUUCGGAUGCUGACGAGUGGCGAACGGGUGAGUAAUACAUCGGAACGUGCCUAGUAGUGGGGGAUAACUACUCGAAAGAGUGGCUAAUACCGCAUGAGAUCUACGGAUGAAAGCAGGGGAUCGCAAGACCUUGUGCUACUAGAGCGGCCGAUGGCAGAUUAGGUAGUUGGUGGGAUAAAAGCUUACCAAGCCGACGAUCUGUAGCUGGUCUGAGAGGACGAUCAGCCACACUGGGACUGAGACACGGCCCAGACUCCUACGGGAGGCAGCAGUGGGGAAUUUUGGACAAUGGGCGCAAGCCUGAUCCAGCAAUGCCGCGUGCAGGAAGAAGGCCUUCGGGUUGUAAACUGCUUUUGUACGGAGCGAAAAGGCUCUCUCUAAUACAGGGGGCUCAUGACGGUACCGUAAGAAUAAGCACCGGCUAACUACGUGCCAGCCGCCGCCGUAACAC
rnacentral:rRNA from 1 species